rnacentral:rRNA from 1 species
UGGGGAAUAUUGGACAAUGGGCGAAAGCCUGAUCCAGCCAUGCCGCGUGUGUGAAGAAGGUCUUCGGAUUGUAAAGCACUUUAAGUUGGGAGGAAGGGCAUUAACCUAAUACGUUAGUGUUUUGACGUUACCGACAGAAUAAGCACCGGCUAACUCUGUGCCAGCAGCCGCGGUAAUACAGAGGGUGCAAGCGUUAAUCGGAAUUACUGGGCGUAAAGCGCGCGUAGGUGGUUUGUUAAGUUGGAUGUGAAAGCCCCGGGCUCAACCUGGGAACUGCAUCCAAAACUGGCAAGCUAGAGUACGGUAGAGGUUGGUGGAAUUUCCUGUGUAGCGAUGAAAUGCGUAGAUAUAGGAAGGAACACCAGUGGCGAAGGCGACCACCUGGACUGAUACUGACACUGAGGUGCGAAAGCGUGGGGAGCAAACA